UACGGAGGGUGCAAGCGUUAUCCGGAUUCACUGGGUUUAAAGGGUGCGUAGGUGGGUCUGUAAGUCCGUGGUGAAAUCUCCGAGCUUAACUUGGAAACUGCCGUGGAUACUAUAGAUCUUGAAUACUGUGGAGGUUAGCGGAAUAUGUCAUGUAGCGGUGAAAUGCUUAGAUAUGACAUAGAACACCAAUUGCGAAGGCAGCUGGCUACACAAAUAUUGACACUGAUGCACGAAAGCGUGGGGAUCAAACAGG
rnacentral:rRNA from 1 species